rnacentral:rRNA from 1 species
UACAGAGGGUGCAAGCGUUGUCCGGAAUUACUGGGCGUAAAGGGCGCGUAGGCGGCUUGAUAAGUAGGAGGUGAAAUUUCGUGGCUCAACCCACGAAACUGCCUUCUAAACUGUCAGGCUUGAGCACGGUAGAGGCAGAUGGAAUUCCCGGGUGUAGCGGUGGAAUGCGUAGAGAUCGGGAAGAACACCAGUGGCGAAGGCGGUCUGGCUGGGCCGUUGCUGACGCUGAAGCGCGACAGCGUGGGGAGCAAACAGG